rnacentral:rRNA from 1 species
GCAUAUCAAUAAGCGGAGGAAAAGAAACCAACCGGGAUUGCCUCAGUAACGGCGAGUGAAGCGGCAAGAGCUCAAAUUUGAAAUCUGGCCCCCUCGGGGUCCGAGUUGUAAUUUGCAGAGGAUGCUUCGGGUGCGGCCCCCGUCUAAGUGCCCUGGAACGGGCCGUCAUAGAGGGUGAGAAUCCCGUCUGGGACGGGGUGUCCGCGUCCGUGUGAAGCUCCUUCGACGAGUCGAGUUGUUUGGGAAUGCAGCUCUAAAUGGGUGGUAAAUUUCAUCUAAAGCUAAAUACUGGCCGGAGACCGAUAGCGCACAAGUAGAGUGAUCGAAAGAUGAAAAGCACUUUGAAAAGAGAGUUAAAAAGCACGUGAAAUUGUUGAAAGGGAAGCGCUUGCGACCAGACUCGCCCGCGGGGUUCAGCCGGCAUUCGUGCCGGUGUACUUCCCCGCGGGCGGGCCAGCGUCGGUUUGGGCGGCCGGUCAAAGGCCCCCGGAAUGUAGCACCCUUCGGGGUGCCUUAUAGCCGGGGGUGCAAUGCGGCCAGCCUGGACCGAGGAACGCGCUUCGGCACGGACGCUGGCAUAAUGGUCGUAAACGACCCGUCUUGAAACACGGACCAAGGAGUCUAACAUCUACGCGAGUGUUCGGGUGUCAAACCCGUGCGCGCAGUGAAAGCGAACGGAGGUGGGAGCCCCCCCGCGGGGCGCACCAUCGACCGAUCCUGAUGUCUUCGGAUGGAUUUGAGUAAGAGCGUAAAUGUGGGGACCCGAAAGAUGGUGAACUAUGCCUGAAUAGGGCGAAGCCAGAGGAAACUCUGGUGGAGGCUCGCAGCGGUUCUGACGUGCAAAUCGAUCGUCAAAUUUGGGUAUAGGGGCGAAAGACUAAUCGA